AUUGAACGCUGGCGGCAUGCCUUACACAUGCAAGUCGAACGGCAGCACGGGAGCAAUCCUGGUGGCGAGUGGCGAACGGGUGAGUAAUAUAUCGGAACGUGCCCAGUCGUGGGGGAUAACGUAGCGAAAGCUACGCUAAUACCGCAUACGAUCUACGGAUGAAAGCGGGGGAUCGCAAGACCUCGCGCGAUUGGAGCGGCCGAUAUCAGAUUAGCUAGUUGGUGGGGUAAAAGCUCACCAAGGCGACGAUCUGUAGCUGGUCUGAGAGGACGACCAGCCACACUGGAACUGAGACACGGUCCAGACUCCUACGGGAGGCAGCAGUGGGGAAUUUUGGACAAUGGGCGCAAGCCUGAUCCAGCAAUGCCGCGUGCAGGAUGAAGGCCUUCGGUUGUAAACUGCUUUGUACGGUAACGAAACGGUAGAGCUCUAAUAAAGACUUGCUAAUGACGGUACCGUAAGAAUAAGACACCGGCUAACUAACGUG
rnacentral:rRNA from 1 species